GUUUAUCUCAGAGGAGUGAGCUUAAGAACACAAGCUGCAUUGGUUUGAAUUGUUAUAUCAUAUACUAGAAUCUAGUAUAUCUUUAUGUUACUAAUUUAUCUUGUGUUCUCAGGUCACCCCUUUGAGGUAACC
rnacentral:pre_miRNA from 1 species